rnacentral:rRNA from 1 species
AGCGAACGCUGGCGGCAGGCUUAACACAUGCAAGUCGAGCGGGCACUUUCGGGUGUCAGCGGCGGACGGGUGAGUAACGCGUGGGAACGUGCCCUCUGGUUCGGAAUAACUCAGGGAAACUUGAGCUAAUACCGGAUACGCCCUUUUGGGGAAAGGCUUGCUGCCGGAGGAUCGGCCCGCGUCUGAUUAGCUAGUUGGUGAGGUAACGGCUCACCAAGGCGACGAUCAGUAGCUGGUCUGAGAGGAUGAUCAGCCACACUGGGACUGAGACACGGCCCAGACUCCUACGGGAGGAAGCAGUGGGGAAUAUUGGACAAUGGGCGCAAGCCUGAUCCAGCCAUGCCGCGUGAGUGAUGAAGGCCUUAGGGUUGUAAAGCUCUUUUAUCCGGGACGAUAAUGACGGUACCGGAGGAAUAAGCCCCGGCUAACUUCGUG